AGUUUUGCAGAUAAAGAACACUUUCCUCAGCACAUGUGCAGUGGAUCCUGACACCAGAGCUUCAAAGAGGUCCCAAUUGGAGAGAAAAUGAGGAAAAGGAGGAACAGAUGGGACUAAAAGCAGAAGGCACCUGAUGAAAGAGAAAAAGCAAGGCUGGGGGAAGGGUGUUUAGAGAAGGACUGGGAGAACAAAAGCAAAGAAUCUGAAAUGAGAGCAUGCUUUCUUCCGUUCCCAUGAACUUCAGAAUGAGCCACAUCUUUACUCAAAGC
rnacentral:lncRNA from 10 species